rnacentral:rRNA from 1 species
GAUGAACGCUGACAGAAUGCUUAACACAUGCCAGUCAACUUGAAUUUGGGUUUUUAACUUAGGUUUGGGUGGCGGACGGGUGAGUAACGCGUAAAGAACUUGCCUCACAGCUAGGGACAACAUUUGGAAACGAAUGCUAAUACCUAAUAUUAUGAUAAUAGGGCAUCCUAUAAUUAUGAAAGCUAUAAGCGCUGUGAGAGAGCUUUGCGUCCCAUUAGCUAGUUGGAGAGGUAACGGCUCACCAAGGCGAUGAUGGGUAGCCGGUCUGAGAGGGUGAUCGGCCACAAGGGGACUGAGACACGGCCAUUACUCCUACGGGAGGAAGCAGUGGGGAAUAUUGGACAAUGGACCGAGAGUCUGAUCCAGCAAUUCUGUGUGCACGAUGAAGUUUUUCGGAAUGUAAAGUGCUUGCAGUUGAGAAGAAACAAAUGACGGUACCAACAGAAGAAGUGACGGCUAAAUACGUG